UUCGCCUGUCUCACUCCUCAACUCGCUGAGCGCUACGAGCCAGCAGCGCCCUCCUGGAAAGCGUCCCCCCACGCUUUCCCUGGUCGUCCUGUACUUACCCGUCUGAUCUGACCUUGAAAAGAAGUUUCUCCUGACACCCUUAGUUUAAAUCCAGCUUCCCCAAAUUGUACUACGUGCUUUGUAAGCACCAUGCAUAUGUCCUUCAGGGUAGCCACCACAGUUUAAUUACAUGGGUAUUUGGUUGUCUCAAGUUGUAAGAGGGCAGGGACCCUGUCCGUUUUGUAAUCAAAACUCCAGGAACCUACGACAGUGCCAGGCACGUGAGACAGAUGGGACUGUGUUCAGAAUUCUCACAAGAGCCGAAGGAUUUAUGGAUGCGGAUAUACCCUUACAGUUGGUGUUCCAUUUACCGGUCAAUUACCCGUCAUGUCUGCCUGGUAUUGUGGUUAACUCCGAACACCUGACCAGGGCUGAGUGUGAGAUUGUGAAGGAGAAGUUACUGGAGCAAGCAGAGACCCUUUUGUCGGAACCUAUGGUUCAUGAGCUGGUUCUCUGGAUUCAACAGAAUCUCAGGGACAUCCUCAAGCGACCAGAAGCUGGAGGUGGCAGUGAAAAGUGCACUUCUGAAGCAGGCACGACUGUGGAUGAUGGAUUGUGGAUGACUCUUUUGCAUUUAGAUCACAUGAGAGCAAAGACUAAAUAUGUCAGAACUGUGGAGAAGUGGGCUUCCGAUUUAAGGCUGACAGGAAGACUGAUGUUCAUGGGUAAAAUAAUACUGAUUUUACUGCAGGGAGACAGAAACUACAUCAAGGAAUACCUGAUUCUUCAGAAAACCUGCAAAGUAGAUGUGGACUCAAGUGGAAAGAAAUGCAAAGAGAAAAUGAUUAGUGUACUGUUUGAAACAAAAGUACAGACAGAACACAAAAGGUUUCUGGCAUUUGAAGUCAAAGAGUAUUCAUCGUUGGAUGAGUUACAAAAGGAAUUUGAAACUGCAGGACUUAAGAAGCUUUUCUCCGAAUUUGUACUUAGGCUGGUAAAAUGAUGUGGAAGACAGCUUUCCUUGAAGCUCGGUAUGACCAUAAGACUAAAUUCUGGGUAAAUGAAGGUACCAUAUGUGGUUUCUAGAAGGGCUUCUUGAAGGCGUUGACUCACUGGGAGCUGCUGCCUUUUCCUCCCUUCUACCGCCUGGAACGUGGACGGGAGGGCUGAAACUCCAAUGGCAAUCUUGGGUUAUGAGCUUCAGCAGCCAUUCUCUAUUGCAGAGAAAGUGGGACACUCUAAUUGUUUGGGCUGAGGAAAGGAUACAAGAAAGUGCCAGGGGAGAAGACAUAAAAGAAAUCCUGAAAACAAAUGAACAAAUGGACUUGGUUCAUGGACACCUAGCCGAGCCUGUGUCUGAGAAGAAUGACAUGCCUUCAGCAUGAAGUCACUACAAGAAAAAGACAUGUAAUUAAGGAGGGGAAAAAAAAUCAGAAGCUGGAGCCAUUAAAGAGACUGUGAUAUGAGGAAAACAUUAUACAGGAGAUGUGACCAAAGAUCUCAGAUCUGAGAGCUGAAAGGGAAUGAAACUAGUUAAAAUUCCACUGCUCAUUCGCUCCAUGGGAGAAAUAACAUUACUGUUGGAUGUCACUUGCCACUUCAUUUUUAGAAACAAUUAAA